GUCUCUCGCUCCCGCCAGAGCUUGGGAUCGGUCUUCACUGUUCCGCGUCCUCUACCUGGGAACCACCGACCCCCGCCCGGCGACUUUGUCACAGACUCUGUUGCCCUGUGAUCUGCAGGUCCUGGGAGACGCACAGCCAAGAUGCCAGGGCACCCUGGAAGCUGUGAAGUGGUUAUGUGAAUCCUCUUCUUCCCAGAUCCUGCCAAAAGGAAAGAUUGUGACAUAUCACUGGAACCAGCACUUAGGCUAUUGUGACAUAUGCCUGAGGCUAACACCCAGAUGAUAUAAGUCUUCAUCCUGGACCCUGUCUACAGAAGUCAUUGCGAUAUAUGUCUUCACCAAUCACUGAGGUCGAACGCCCAGUGAUGUGACUCUCCUUCCUGGUCCAUGCCCUCAGGGAAGAUUGUGACAUACCCCGGCCCAGCACACAGUUAAUGUCACUCUUGUGCUUGCUGUCUACCCAUGGGUAGGAUUGUGACAUAUAUCGUGGCCAAGCACAAAGAUGUAAUGACUGUCAUACCUCGAAGAAAGCAAUAGAGUUAAUGUUGCUCCUAGGUAGGCUUAGGAAAAUGAGGAAGUCGUCUUUCUGUUCAAAUCUCACUCUCUGACAUAUAUAAAGCCCUAGUGUGUUACAGAGAAUGUCAUAACAGGGCUCCUCACACAGGUGAGAUCGUGUUCUAUACACAGCCCACCAAUCUUGAGAAUUGUCACCCUCACACAUGGACAGAGUCCACUGGUGAAGUCCUGAAUCACACAUGAAUGCAGUUCACAAUUGGAAUUGUGACUGUCAUCAUUGAACAUCUAGCCACAAUUUGGAUGGUGAUUCUUUUUUUUUUUUUUUUUUUUUUUUUUUUUUUUUUUUUUUUUUUGAGACAGAAUCUUGCUCUGUCACCCAGGCUGGAGUGCAGUGAUGCAAUCUUGGCUCACUGCAACCUCUGCCUCCUGGGUUCAAGCGAUUCUCCUGCCUCAUCCCCCUGAGUAGCUGUGAUUCCAGGCACCCGCCACCAAGCCCAGCUAAUUUUUGUAUUUUAAGUAGAGACAGGGUUUCACCAUGUUGGCCAGGCUGGUCUCGAAGUCCUGACCUCGUGAUCUGCCCACCUCAGCCUCCCAAAGUGCUGGGAUUACAGGUGUGAACCACCAUGCCCGGCAGUGAUUCAUUUCUAAACCCAGCUUGUUAAAAGGUGAGGACUCUCCUAUCUGGACUAAACCAAUAGUUUAGUUUAGUUAGGAUAGAUGUUGAUGCUCAUAUCUGGGCUUGGAACCACAGGAAAGAUCUUCUUGGACAAAGGUCACAGAGGAUUACCACUCUUGCAUAUUGUAUAAAUCAUCAAGUGAAACUAUCAUAAGAGAACAUAGCACAUGCGUGAGAUUUUGUCUUUUGAAUGUACACCCAGGCAACAGUAAAGAUUGUCAUUCUCCCAUAUUGAGGUUCUGAAUGUCAGACACAGAGACUGUGAAAAGUUGAAUAAUUGACUCUCACGUGGAUCUGGACUAGAGGUGGACUGGUGACUCUCAGAGCAAGAUUCAGCACACAUAAGAGUCUGUGACUUCACUGAAAGGACAAGCCUGCAGAAGAAAUUGUGGCUUUCCUGCCCACAUUCUGUCAACCAUUGAUAUUGUGACUCACAUACUUAGACCCAACGUACAGAAAGUGUUGACUCAUACCUAGCACCUGGACAUAUAUGGAAUUUCUACUCUAAUUCCUGGACUUUUCUGCAGGUGUGAUUGUAUGCAUCUGCUACCCACCUUAGUGAUUUGACUUUGCUGCCUUGGCCCAGCCCACAGAUGAGAUUGUGACAUAUCGCUUGACUCUGCACCUUGAUGGUGCAAUCUCCGCUCACUGCAACCUCUGCCUCCCAGGUUCAAGUGAUUCUUCUGCCUCAGCCUCCUGAGGAGCUGGGAGUACAGGCAUGCACCACCACACCCAACUAGUUUUUGUAUUUUUAGUAGAGACGGGGUUUCACCAUGUUGGUCAGGCUGGUCUCGAACUCCUGACCUCGUGUUCUGCCCGCCUCAGCCUCCCAAAGUCCUGGGAUUACAGGUAUGAGCCACCAUGCCCGGCCUCGCUGGGCCUUUCACCCAGAUGAUGUGAGUUAUUUUUCUUGCAUUGGUACUGCUCACAGGGUGCAUUGUGACAUAUUUCUAAGCCCUUCACUCAGGUUAUGUGACUACUUUUUUGCCUGUGCCCUAACUAUUUUGCAUGUUAGGACAUAUUAUGAGGCCCAACACCUGUAAAAUAGAGGCUCCUCCCUGGGCCUUGUCUACAGAGGGCCUUGUGACAUAUCUCUGCAUCAGUCACCUAGGAAAUGUGACUCCGUUUUUGCCUGCACUCUGUCCACAGGAAACAUUGUGACUUAUCACUAGGCCCAGGUACUAGUUGAUGUGUCUCUGGUAACUGGGCCUUGACCACAGAGAGGAUUGUUACCUAUUGCUGGGCUCAGCCCCCAUGUGGUGUGACUGUACUGUCUGUGUCCUGCUUUCAGGAGAAGGCUGUAACAUAUUCCUGGUUGAGUAUUCAGGUGAUGUGACACUCCUGUUUGGUCCCUGCCUUCAGAAAAGAUUGUGAUGUACUCCUGGCCAAAAACCCAGGUGAUGUGACUCUUAUCUCUCCCUAUUCACAGGUAAGAUUGUAAAAUGCCUUGGUCUAGCUCACAGGUGUGAUGAUGUUGAUCCUUUUUUUUUUUUUAUUUUAUUUAUUUUUUUUAUUUUUGGAGAUGGAGUUGCUCUGUCGCCCAGGCUGGAGUGCAGUGGUGUGAUCUCAGCUCACUGCAACCUCCACCUCCUGGGUUCUAGGGAUUCUCCUGCCUCAGCCUCCCAAGUAGCUGGGAUUACAGGUGCACACCACCAAUCCCGGCUAAUUUUUGUAUUUUCCGUAGAGACAUGGUUUCAGCAUGUUGGCCAGGCUGGUCUCGAGCUCCGUACUUCAAGUGAUCUGCCUGCCUCAGCCUCGCAAAGUUCUGGGAUUACAGGCAUGAGCCACCGUGCCCGGCCACAAGUGUGGUGGUGACUCUCAUACCUCAAACCAGCCAAUAGGAGAGAUCCUGUUUCUUAUAGCUAGGCUUAAAAUCAUGAGUAUGGUCAUGGGUCUUCUUGUACGAAGGUCCUAGAGAAAUACCACUUUCUUUUAUACUAUAUAAAUCUCUUACUGUACAGAGAUUGCCAUUCCAGCGUUCAGAACACAGGUGAGAUUGUGUUUCUCAUAUGCAUACCCCAGCAAACAUUAAAAUUGUCAUCUUCACACAUGGACAGGGUCCACUGGUAAGUCCUGAAUCUCACACAUGGAAAAAAUCCACAGUUGAAAUUGUGACUGUCAUAUAUGAACAUCCGGCCAGAGUUGAAAUCAUGAGUCAUUUCUAAAUUCAGUUUAUAGGCAAGUGAGAAUUUUUCUAUCUGAACCUGAGAGAAUAAAAGGUGGUUUUGAAUUAGACAAAAUAGAGCUAAAAGUUCAAACAAAUGGUGGAAGGAUUGUAAAAAUCUUGCAAAGAAUUCCAUGUGUGGUUAUAUUGACUAAAUUCAAAAAGGUACUACAUGGUUUUUCUGUAAAUAAAAAAUUGAAAUAAAAGCACAACAAGGUACUCGUAAUGCACUAAUCUGCUUUUUAGCAAACUUUGUUAACGGUUAUAACAGAUUGUUGCUUCUUUAAAAUUUUGGAGUCAUUGUAACAAAAUAAAUAAUUUAGGAUAAUCU
rnacentral:lncRNA from 1 species